rnacentral:rRNA from 1 species
GACGAACGCUGGCGGCGUGCCUAAUACAUGCAAGUCGAACGCAUUUUCUUUCACCGUAGCUUGCUACACCGAAAGAAAAUGAGUGGCGAACGGGUGAGUAACACGUGGGUAACCUGCCCAUCAGCGGGGGAUAACACUUGGAAACAGGUGCUAAUACCGCAUAAUUCCAUUUACUGCAUGGUAGAUGGAUGAAAGGCGCUUUUGCGUCACUGAUGGAUGGACCCGCGGUGCAUUAGCUAGUUGGUGGGGUAACGGCCUACCAAGGCUGCGAUGCAUAGCCGACCUGAGAGGGUGAUCGGCCACACUGGGACUGAGACACGGCCCAGACUCCUACGGGAGGCAGCAGUAGGGAAUCUUCGGCAAUGGACGCAAGUCUGACCGAGCAACGCCGCGUGAGUGAAGAAGGUUUUCGGAUCGUAAAACUCUGUUGUUAGAAAUGAACAAGGAUGAGAGUGGAAAGUUCAUCCCUUGACGGUAUCUAACCAGAAAGCCACGGCUAACUACGUG